AAUCAGACCAAGGCGGUUCCUUUGUGCUAUUCAAAUACCGAACGGACCCCGGGCCUCCAACGCCGCUGCUGCCUCGAAUGUUCUCCUGGGGCCGCGGCACCGCGUGGGACUCGGAGCUUCCUAGGUAGCCGCCCACAGCGUCGGUCGUCUCUCGGGAACCACGUUGAGGACUGCGGCUACCCUGGACCUGGCUCCCGCGAGCUGGGGGUCGGCUCACCUGAGCGCCGCGGAGAUGGCUCCGCCCCCUUCCGCACCGUUGGGCCUCACCUGCAGCAGGUGCGCGCGGUUCCCCGCUCCGGGCCACGCGGCGCCUCCUCUUUCUCACCUGCUAAGGCCAGGGGAAUCUGGGAGAGGAUCUUCAAGUGUGGAGGCCUCACCCCUUCACAUCGGCUGUCUCCUGGUCUCAACAUAGCUGGUGCUCCUUCGGGUCUCACAUUCAGGCAAAAUCAAAAGGGAGUCCAGGGGUCGAGUGACUCCUCACCUGGACCCACUGAUACCUGAGUGGCUGCAGCAUGGAGAUACUCCAGUGCUAUUGCCCCUCCAUCUACUGCUGGAACACUCCAGAAAGGAGUCACCUGUCCAGGCCACAUGGCUGGGAGAUCUUUCCUGAUCAUCUUGCUGCUUUUCCAGCAGGGGAGGAAGUGAGUUCUCAGGCUGGUCUGGAACUCACAGAGAUCCUCCUGCUUCUGCCUCCGGAGUGCUGGGAUUAAACGCGUGCGCCACCAAGGCCCAGUAAUGAACUGAUUACUUAUGGGGUACCUAUGACAUGUCUGCUGUCACCUGGUGACUCUGGGAAAAGCUGCUUUGUGUCAAGUGACUGGUUUGCAGGCUGGAGUGGCCGGUAUGGCUCCUGCUCCUGAGUCCUCAUUGGGAGAAGGCUCUGGCCUUGGCAGAGGUGGCUCUCCUCCCAGCAAGCCAGGGUAAGUAUGCAGCCAACAUCAGGUCUCAGAUGUCACCAGGCACAGGUUAAAGAUUCAGAGAGGUUGGCUGGGCGUGGUGGCACAUACUUUAAUACCAGUACUCUGGAGGCAGAGACAGGCAGAUCUUCUGAGUUCAAGGUCAGCCUGGUCUAAAGAAUGAGUUUCAGGACAGCCAGAGUUACACAGUAAGACACCACCCCUAGAGAUAGAGGAAGGAGGGGAUUGGAUACUAUGUCACACUAAAUACUUCACACAGACACACCCUGUCAUCCUUAACAGGUCCUAGGGGUGACCCUGUGCCAUCUCUGUUUCACAGGUGGGGAAGCUCCUAGCAGGGAGGUGAAGUGACCUGCGUAAGGUCACCCUGUGGUUCUUGGUAGGGGAGUGACAGACUGUGCCCCACCUCCUGCUUCCUUUUUGUCCUCAUUCUCUCCUGAGCAUGGAGUGGAGGCCCUUAUGUUCCUUCUGCCUUUAAAAAGCUUUCUAUGGCUUCGGGGUGGUAGGGACCGCUAGCAUCCUCGUUCUGUAGCUCAGCUCAGCCACCUGACUCUUGCGGUCUGACUUGAGUGGCGAAGUUGUCACACAUUUACUUUUGCAUAUAGACCAUUACAGGUGAAAUCAAGAGGGUCAACCAAGACUCUACACAUGGGAGCUGAGGUGGUUUCUGGGCUUCAGAAAGACGUGGUAGCUUUUCCAGCAGUGGGAGAUUUCUCUGUCUCUGUGAGAUUGUUUCUCAAGUCUGACAAAAUAUUCCAUAAUAAAAAAGCAUCCAAAGAGUCAUUUACUGUUCUCUCUCUCAGGCUGUCCUCCAACUCACUACGUAGCCAAGGCUAUCCUUGAACUGCUCAUUCUCCUGCCUCUACUACCCAAGUGCUGGUGUUACAGUGUGCAGAACUACACCUGGCCGACCUUUUAUUUAGGUGCCAAGGUGUUAGUCUGUGCUUGAAGGUGGGGCUGAUUCCUCCAGAGCUGUCUCCUUUCUAGUCUGGCUUCUUGGCCCGUCUGGAGAGGCCCCCAGCAUCUUCUCUUUCUUGGUAACCUUCAGUUGAUCCAUGUUAUCCCUGAUCUGUCACCCCUGAUCUUCCUGACCACCCAGGACUCAGCCUUGGCAAUCGUGC
ensembl:lncRNA